rnacentral:rRNA from 1 species
GGGCCCGCACAAGCGGUGGAGCAUGUGGUUUAAUUCGAUGCAACGCGAAAAAACCUUACCUACCCUUGACAUCAUCAGAACUUGUUAGAGAUAACUCGGUGCCUUCGGGAACUGAUAGACAGGUGCUGCAUGGCUGUCGUCAGCUCGUGUCGUGAGAUGUUGGUUAAGUCCCGCAACGAGCGCAACCCUUAUUCUUAGUUGCCAGCACGUAAUGGUGGGGACUCUAAGGAGACUGCCGGUGCUAAGCCGGAGGAAGGCGGGACGACGUCAAGUCAUCAUGGCCCUUACGGGUAGGGCUACACACGUGCUACAAUGGCCGGUACAGAGGGUUGCCAAACCGCGAGGUGGAGCU